GUUCAGUCAGACUAUAUUUUUGUUUUGAAGUGUGUGUGCAUCUGUGGUCACCCCCUCUUCACUGCUUCUGUAUUUUAGCUCUCUCAUGGCUUUUGGCCAGGGUUAAAAAUGCAGCUAAGUUCCACUUAUACUAUGAAUCUUUUGUGUUUUUUUCUCACAGAUACAGGUUACAUACAGACCUCUUACAGGUGGGAAAUCCUCAUUACUCUUACCACUCUCCUUGCUGCACUGAGCAUUACUGGAACAGCUCUGCUACUGUGGAAAAGAAAGGUGGUGUGUCCUGGAAGGAACCAGCUCCAAAAUAUCCUGAGACACGAGGUGGAAACUCAGCCUCCUCCAGCUAACCCAGCACCAGCUACUCCCAUCUAUGACUGCCUGGAUUCGGAGCAAGUUGAUGUCUAUUCUGUCCUUGGGAGCAACACAGACAAGCCACCAUGCAGAAGGAGUCCUCCAGGAAAGGUAAGGGCUGGGGCCCUGCUCUUACAGAGUUCCCUUACACACUGGGCAUGUGAGGAAAACCUC
rnacentral:lncRNA from 1 species